AUUCACGACAUUUGGUGAAUGAGUGUGGUCGCGUAGUGAGGACCAAAGCUCCAUUGAAUGUAAAGAAUUGGCAAGAAGCUUUAUCAAUUGCCGGUGAUAGCAUGUGGAAGGAAAUUCAGGAAAAGUUUCAAGUUAAUGAUGCAAAUCACUUGGCCAAAAUGUAUACUUUUGUUGUAGAUACUAUGCAACGUUUGUAUUGGUUGUGGAAAUGCAGACUACAUUACUACUACAAGAGUGCCAAAUGUGGAAAAACUAAUGCGGAACGCCUAAACAAUCCUCCACUAGAUUUACCGAAAGAGCAAUGGCAAUGGUGUGUAGAGCAUUAUGGGUCAGAUGAGUUCAAGAUAGUAAGCCAAAGGAAUUCCAAAAAUCGAUUAUCAGACAAAAGAUGUAUUCACACUACCGGAAAUUUAGCGUUUGUUUAAGUUGAAGAUAUAUUGACAAAAGAGAACGAUGGUGUGAAGCCAACUGCAGAUGUGAUAUGGCUUGUUCAGCAUACACAUACAAACAAAGAAGAUAAACUUGAAUGGGCUGAUGGCACACGUUCUAAAAUAAUUCAUGAAAAACUGAAAAAUGUAGUUGCUACUGUUGGUGAUUCAAUGACACAAGAAGAGAUAUUAAUUCAAGUUUUAGAGCCAAGGUCUGGGUAUGUUCGUGGAAAAGGGACUGCACUACGUGGUUAUUCUAAAGGAAAACAACAAUUGGAACAAAGAAGACUUGUUGAGCAACAACAACAAAAAAUACAAGAACAAGAACAGAGGAUAAAAGAGCUAGAAGAAAGCCAUCAAAAGCAACAACAAGAGUUAGAAGACUGUAAACAAAGGCAGCAACAAGAACUUGAAGAGCAUAAAGCACAACAACAACAAGCUAUGGAAGAUUUUAAAAGAGAGUUGCUGCAACAGCUUGCAAACAGAGGUAUCUAGCAAUUAAGAUAGAGAUUAGGAUAUGGAAGUUUUGCUAAGGUGCCUUCGUUGUGGAUGUUGAAAGAAGAUGGGUAUUUUGGGCAUUGAAUGAACUGAUGUUGUAUUCUUUUGGAAUGAAUGAAAUACUAUCUUGAAUGUUGUGGUAGGAAUAGAGUACUACCAAUUUUUGGGCAUGACAUUAAACUAUGUAUAUUCUGAAUAUUAUGUGACAUUGAUGUCACAUUUUGGGCAAGCAUGGAAAAUGUUUGUACUUGGAACAACUUCCAUCUUUAAUAUAUUCAAAAUAGUAAAUUCAAGUA